rnacentral:antisense_RNA from 1 species
GCACCGAGGCGGCCCGGCUUGCCGGGUUGCCACAUGAAUUGAUGCGGACUUCGGUUCGUAUGAAAAAAACCACCUUUCGGGGUGGUUUUUUUUA